AAUACCAAAGAUUCUCUAUUCUAAUUAGCAUCGUCUCUGAUAAUUCAAAUAUUCCAGGAAGUGGUUAAUCGACCGGAUGUUGUUUUGUGAUCAGUGAUGCGUUUCCAGGGGACGUUCUUUGAGGGGACACAUUACACUUUGAGGAAGUAGUGUCUUGUUCAGUGUUCACGGUUUAUAUUGCUGAAGGACAAUUACAAGUCUAAACGGAGAAGAGUCGUCAUUUCAAGGUGUUUUCGCGGACGUAUCGGCAUGUGGAUGUUGACAGUGUCGGAAGUAUUAAUCAAAGUUGACACGAGAAGUUGGAGCGAUGCGAGAAGAGCAUGCGAUGAGCUGCCUGCCUGCCUGCCUGCUGCUGUCUACUGCCUACUCCUGCUGCUGCCGCUGCUGCUGUUGCAUCCAAUGUUGGGUAGCCAGCCACCCAUGCAUGUUGACACAGCCAGCAGCGGGCACCCAUGGCACAUGGGGAUGGACCCAGGAGUGGAGGAUGACCCAAUAGGAUGAACGUUCAGCCCACUCACUGUUGACACCAGUGACACAGUAUUGACCAGAUCUCCUGGAAGUGCCCCCUGACGCAGACCCAGUUGUUGGGUAGCCACCCAUGCACGUUGACACAGCCAGCACCGAGCACCCAGGGGGAUGGAACCAGGAAUGGAGGAUGGUCCAAUAGGGUAGCAUCAUGAAGGCGGUUUACCCCUGAAACUUUUUACAAAGGACCACCAUCGUCAGAGAAGUUCCUUUAACCCUUAUCUCCCAUAGCGGCCGUGAACGCCCGGCCACCUCUCUCCCAUAACGCCCGCCGACACCCGGAGUAUUUUCAUAGCUGAACAGAAGUCAUCAUGCAGUUUCUACAGCUUUCACUUUAGAUCACUAUUACAGACUCUCAAUAUAUUUUUAUUAUAAAAACUAUUUUGGGAAAUCCUGAACUACAGUGCAAAGUGGCUGAGCUCAAAAGUACGGGCUCGCUGCUGCUGCCCAGUAGAAAAUAUCUUUUAAAUGCAGUACAGUUCCUAAUUGUGCGUUCAUGUGGUAAUUACGUAAAUAUCAAACACUGACAUCCGAAGCACACAUGAACGCCACCGGCCCUAGUAGAAAAUUUUGAUUAAUGAAUGCACUAUAUCUCUUCUCUUGCCUCCCUCUCUUCUCCACAAGCUCUCCCCUCAUCUAUUCUCUUCAUUUUGCUAGUCCUCAUCUCUCUUUCUUCAUUGUGUUACUGUUUAAGCUGAUAACUGUUACUUUUAAAAAUUAAAUAGUUAAAGAUAUUGAAGUUGUCUGUCUUGUGUUACCGUUACCAUGAAGCACAUCAUCUCACAUCUCAAAUGUAUUGUGUAAGUGGUUUGUAAAUAUUUUUGAUGAGAAUAGUAAGAUCUCUCAGAUGUUGCCUCCCAUGCAUAAGCAAUGCUCAACAAGUCAUUUAUUGAUGUUUUGGAAAGCAUGGAAAGAUUUUCAGUUUAAAAGUUCCCCAGAUAUGCCGUAGUAAUGAGUUGUAAGUCCUUGAUAAUGCAUAAGCAAUGCUUAUCAAGUCAUUUGUUAAUGCGUUGUAAAGCUUUAACAGGUUUUCACUUUAGAUCAGUUCCCCAGAUAUACUUAAAUAAUGGGGUUUAAAUCCUUGAUGA